AUUGUAAAAAUUGAUUAAAAAAAAAAAGUAUAAAAUUUUAUGUAGAUCAUAAGUUAUAUGAGUUGACAGUUUCACUCUGUAUAUUAUACUGACGCAAAUUCCAUACAACAUUACGAGAAUGCGUUUGGCACCACUGCAUCGAUUGUGUCUUUGUUUCUGGCAUCGUGUAGGAAAUCCAAGUUUCAUCCCCAGUUACUAUACUGCCCAAUAGUACCUCUCUCUGUUGGUCAUAACGUUCCAAAAACAAUCCACCUGACUCAAUCCUCUUCUGUUUGUGUUCAUCCGUAAGUAUUUUUGGGAUCCAACGAGUACACAGUUUCCUGUAAUCAAGUUUAUUCGAGACCAUAUCGUGCAGAACAGUUCGAGAAACAUAUGGACAAGGAGUUCGUCGAGAGUCGAAUACGAUUAUCAUGAAUGAGUUGAAAUGAAAAACCCAACCUCUCUUCAUUAUGCACAUUCGUCCUUCCUGCUCGGAAUUCCCGUACCCAUUUAGCGACAAUUUGGCGGUUUAUUACUUUUGGUUCAUAUGCCUGAACAAGUCAAUGAUUAAUUUCACUGGGAAUGACUCCUUCAUGAGCGAGGAAACGGAUCACACCUCUCACUUUACAAUUUACAUAUUCAUUGAUAGAGAUGUCGGGAGCGCGCGAUGACUCGCCCAUCGUGAUAACCUCUCACUGACAAAAAUACCAACGUAUAAAAACGGUUCUCGUCUUGAUUAGUUCGUUACAUCUCGCUCUAAGUCAUAGUGGUGCCAAAGUUAAAAAAAAUUCCCUGCCGUUAUGGAGGGGCUUGUAUCUUUACUUUCCGGACGUUCCUCGUAUAUAUGUUUCCAUUAAUUAAAAUAAAGUUGGUACCCUUAUAAGGGAGAAAUAUUUGACCACUUCAAAAUUGAGAAAUAAAUACUAAUUAAAGUAAAAAAAAAAGUUAUUAUUAAUUAUUGUUAUUUAUAACAACUUUUAGACCAGUACUUCGGAAGUCAUUAACAAUUUAGAGUUAUAACUGGUGGUAAGGAGUGGGUCCAGCUAUUUUUAUCACUAAUUAUUUCGCAUCUUUACUCUACGUCCUGCCUAGUUAUAAAAAUGAAACUAACUUAGUUGACAACUUUAUCUUUGAAAAUGAAAAGUUCCCUUUUUUUUAACGAAAAUAUCUCCAAAAAAUUAUAAACAUGUUAGGAUAGAGAUCUCAAUUACUGUCAGACAUGUUCAGCUAACACUAUGCCGAGUUACGACUUAAUUGAUUUUUAUAUUAAGAAGUACUUUGAUUUACAUUAUGUUAAAAGGACACACGUAAUUGAUUCUAUGAAAUGGGAUAAUAUCAGUUUCUUUUUAAAACGUUCUUAAGAACAUUUUAUCACGUCAAAAUUACAACGGUUGAUUUAUUAAAACCUAUAGAAAACAUUCAUGGAGUUAUGUUUUAAUUUUAUAAUCGUUUACUUUGUUGUACAAAAUUUUUUUCAAACAAAUGAGUUUCUAAAAAAGUAAAAGAAUCAAUCAUGGUCAUUAACUCUCCUGUAAAUAUAAAUAUUUUAUAUAUUUUCUAAUCGCUGUUAUUUAAAUUUUUAAGACAUUCGAUAAAGAUAAAAUUAUUUUAAAUUACAAAGGAACAGAUGCAAAUUACAAUUACAACAGAGAUGAUAUUGAAAAAUUGGUGUCAUUUGUGAAUGAAAUAAACUAUCAAAUUCAAUUCAAAAUAAUUAAAAUCCAAGUGAGUUCAAGAAUAUGACUAUGAUAUUUGAAUGAACUUGUUUUUGAAUUUCGAUCCAUCGUAAAUUAAAUUUAAAUUAAGUGAAUG